GGCUGUGUGUUCUAGUGGAUUAUGAUUUCUCGUUCACAAGUAAUAUGUGCACUUGAUCCCGAGAAGGCCGCAGGUUCGAGCCCUGCCACGGUCA